rnacentral:rRNA from 1 species
UACGUAGGGGGCAAGCGUUGUCCGGAAUCAUUGGGCGUAAAGAGCGCGUAGGCGGCCCAGUAAGUCCGCUCUGAAAGUCAGGGGCUCAACCCCUGAAUGCGGGUGGAUACUGCUGGGCUAGAGUCCGGAAGAGGCGAGUGGAAUUCCUGGUGUAGCGGUGAAAUGCGCAGAUAUCGGGAAGAACACCCGUGGCGAAGGCGGCACUCUGGGACGGUACUGACGCUGAGACGCGAAAGCGUGGGGAGCGAACAGG